rnacentral:misc_RNA from 1 species
GAUGAAGAACGUAGCGAAAUGCGAUAAGUAAUGUGAAUUGCAGAAUUCAGUGAAUCAUCGAAUCUUUGAACGCACAUUGCGCCCGCCAGUAUUCUGGCGGGCAUGCCUGUCCGAGCGUCAUUUCAACCAUCGAACCCCUCCGGGGGGUCGGCGUUGGGGAUCGGCCCUUUACGGGGCCGGCCCCGAAAUACAGUGGCGGUCUCGCCGCAGCCUCUCCUGCGCAGUAGUUUGCACACUCGCAUCGGGAGCGCGGCGCGUCCACAGCCGUUAAACACCCCAAACUUCUGAAAUGUUGACCUCGGAUCAGGUAGGAAUACCCGCUGAACUUAAGCAUAUCAAUAAGCGGAGGA